rnacentral:rRNA from 1 species
AACGAACGCUAGCGGUGUGGAUUAGGCAUGCAAGUCGCGCGAGAAGUUUCCUUCGGGAGACGGACAGCGGCGGAAGGGAGAGGAAUACGUAGAAAUCUGCCCUCGAGCCUGGGAUAGCGGCGGGAAACUGCCGGUAAUACCAGAUAAAGUCUUCGGACCAAAGGUGUGAUUCCGCUUGAGGAUGAGUCUACGUCCUAUUAGCUAGUUGGCGGGGUAAUGGCCCACCAAGGCAACGAUGGGUAGCGGGUGUGAGAGCACGAUCCGCCUCACUGGGACUGAGACACUGCCCAGACACCUACGGGUGGCUGCAGUCGAGAAUCUUCGGCAAUGGGGGAAACCCGUCGACCGAGCGACGCCGCGUGCGGGAUGAAGGCCCUCGGGUUGUAAACCGCUGUCGUAAGGGAACAAAUCCAUAGGGGUACUCCUCUAUGGUUGAGUGAUCUUAGGAGGAAGGACGGGCUAAGUUCGUG